AGAGUUUGAUCCUGGCUCAGAUUGAACGCUGGCGGCUGCCUUACACAUGCAAGUCGAACGGCAGCACGGGGGCAACCCUGGUGGCGAGUGGCGAACGGGUGAGUAAUAUAUCGGAACGUGCCCUGGAGUGGGGGAUAACUAGUCGAAAGAUUAGCUAAUACCGCAUACGAUCUACGGAUGAAAGUGGGGGACCCGCAAGGGCCUCAUGCUCCUGGAGCGGCCGAUAUCUGAUUAGCUAGUUGGUGAGGUAAAGGCUCACCAAGGCAUCGAUCAGAGCUGGUCUGAGAGGACGACCAGCCACACUGGGACUGAGACACGCCCAGACUCUACGGGAGGCAGCAUGGGAUUUGGACAAUGGGCGCAAGCCUGAUCCAGCAAUGCCCGUGAUGAAAAGGCUUCGGGUGAAAGCUCUUUUGCAGGGAGAACGGUGGGGCGAUACCCUUGCAAUGACGGUCCU
rnacentral:rRNA from 1 species